UGCAGAAAUGAAAUGCCACUAAGGUGAUGGAUCCGACUCCUCUCGAAGGAUAAUAUAGGCUCUCCUCCCCACUCCUACUCAAUACGUCCAAGGCGUACAGAACGGUAACGUACCACUCCGAAUAUCCAAGCUUGGGUAAACGGGGAAACCCAACCCCUUGGGAGGAUGGAUGGUAAGGCUGAAUUGAGAGGG
rfam:Anopheles atroparvus strain EBRO unplaced genomic scaffold supercont1.4, whole genome shotgun sequence.